GAUGAACGCUGGCGGCGUGCCUAAUACAUGCAAGUCGAGCGAACAGAUAAGGAGCUUGCUCCUUUGACGUUAGCGGCGGACGGGUGAGUAACACGUGGGUAACCUACCUAUAAGACUGGAAUAACUCCGGGAAACCGGGGCUAAUGCCGGAUAACAUUUAGAACCGCAUGGUUCUAAAGUGAAAGAUGGUUUUGCUAUCACUUAUAGAUGGACCCGCGCCGUAUUAGCUAGUUGGUAAGGUAACGGCUUACCAAGGCAACGAUACGUAGCCGACCUGAGAGGGUGAUCGGCCACACUGGAACUGAGACACGGUCCAGACUCCUACGGGAGGCAGCAGUAGGGAAUCGUCCGCAAUGGGCGAAAGCCUGACGGAGCAACGCCGCGUGAGUGAUGAAGGUCUUCGGAUCGUAAAACUCUGUUAUUAGGAAAGAACAAAUGUGUAAGUAACUGUGCACGUCUUGACGGUACCUAAUCAGAAAGCCACGGCUAACUACGUG
rnacentral:rRNA from 1 species